CAUGCGUGUGUCACAGGAUGCCUGGAUCAACUUUCAAAAAAUGUAAAUCAUACAAUGUCCAAAUUUCUGUGGCUUGCAAAACCUGCAAACACUGCGGACAAAAGCAAGAAAUGAAAAAAGCAAUACAAGUUGCCAAACAAAAAAUAAAUGAGCAAUGGAAAGUUGCAAAUAAUUUCUGUAAACUUGUAAAUUCUGGGUGUACAUGUUCUGCAGAAGACUCCAGUUCUGAUGUACAAACCUCUUCUGCUGUAGCCAAUGUCCCUCAUCUGUCUGUCUCACAAUCACUUAAAGGUCCAAAAGACUCCAGUGCUGCUGUACAAACCUCUUCUGCAGCAGCCAAUGUCACUCAA